rnacentral:rRNA from 1 species
GACGAACGCUGGCGGCGUGCUUAACACAUGCAAGUCGAACGGUGAAGCGCCUUCCUUUUUGGUGGGUGUGGAUGAGUGGCGAACGGGUGAGUAACACGUGAGUAACCUGCCCCCUUCUUCUGGAUAACCGCAUGAAAGUGUGGCUAAUACGGGAUAUUCUGGGUCUGUCGCAUGAUGGGUCUGGGAAAGAUAUUGUUUCGGUGGGGGAUGGGCUCGCGGCCUAUCAGCUUGUUGUUGGGGUGAUGGCCUACCAAGGCGGUGACGGGUAGCCGGCCUGAGAGGGUGGACGGUCACACUGGGACUGAGACACGGCCCAGACUCCUAAGGGAGGCAGCAGUGGGGAAUAUGGCACAAUGGGCGCAAGCCUGAUGCAGCGACGCCGCGUGAGGGAUGGAGGCCUUCGGGUUGUGAACCUCUUUCGCCAGUGAAGCAGGCCUGCCUCGUUUGUGGGUGGGUUGACGGUAGCUGGAUAAGAAGCGCCGGCUAACUACGUG